CCCAUAGCAGGGAAUACGCGCUCUUCCUGGAGUCUUCAGGCAGAUAAGCACUCGGUCCCUUGUACUCUAGAACCGACCGGGAUUAUUUUCCAGUCACACAUCAAUGAGGGGGGUUCCUCCCAAGGGGUGACAUUCCCUCUGCCUGUCUUGACUGUUAUCUGAGAAACCGGCUGACCUGCAGUUGGAGGAGGGGGCUGACUCCCUUACUCAGUGCUGGAAUCCAGCAGCUGCUUCCUCCUGUCACCUACCGAGCAGCCUCCAAUAGAGAUCCCCAAUGACCCACUGUUUCCGUGAGGCAUUCAUGCUGCCAAGAAUCUGCAAGGCUCUCUGUGGUUCUCUAAUCGUCUCUGAUGAAUGGGAAAAGCGCAAACUGGACUGUUUCAGCUGCUCCGGCCCACUCGACCCUGUCUGCUGCUCUGUUCUGGGCUCUGUUCUUCCAGGCUUGUAACCAGCUGUCUUCCAGCCCUGGAGCAAAAGUUCCACAACGACACUUCUGUUUGUUUAUUGGUUUGUUUUUGAGACAUGGUCUCAAUACACAGCCAGUGCUUGGGCUUGAACCUAAGGCCUUUGUGUGCUAGACAGUCCCACCAAUACUGCUGGUCGGCUUCCUACUUAGACCAUCAAAAAGCCUGCAGGAAAGGGCUCACUGAUGAGUGGCCAGAGGAAGACAAGACACAAUAAACACUUCCACUACUGCUGAAAUAGCAACGCAAGCUCUUUGCAAGAAGAGGUCACCUUUCUUUUGUGGCUGUCCCAUCACAGCUGGCCUUACAUGUGCUUGAGACAUUAAUAGAAAAAGGCAGACAGCUUCCGUAGAGACGGAGCGGGGUGGGGAGGGAGAGGGCAGGACUGUAGGAAGGUCAAACUUUGCAAAGGAAACUCUUCACUGCCGACAAAGGCGGCUUGAUCAUCUUCUUACAGCAAGUUGAGAGUCAGGACAGUGGGGAGAGUAAAGAGGAACAAACCCAGAGACAGUCCCAGUGCCUGCUGCAGAGACAGAGGAAGAGCAGGUCUGCAUGAGACCUUGGCUGCUACUUCCUCCUGUUCUUCGUAGACACUGCUCAAAGAGGGUAAAUAGCCCUGGGACCAGGGGGUUUUGGAAUGUCAGUAUAAUUUCCAACGCUACCAUGGAUUAUUGUAACUGUAUUUGAAGUAAUGCGUUUGAAAUAAAGGGUUCAUUCUUUCAUUUAUUCUUAAAUGUUUACUGAGUAGUUGUUUAUAUGUACCAUAUGUCAGAUGCUGAGGGUGGAAGACUGGAGGAAAAGAGAUACUUCCAGGGUCGGAGAGCUUGCCUAGAACGUGCAAGGUCCUGGAUUCGAUCCCCAGCAGACAACCUCCCACCCAAACACACUUCCGAACGCCCACAAAGGAGGAAAAACAAAUAUAA
rnacentral:lncRNA from 1 species